CCUACGGGUGGCAGCAGUGAGGAAUAUUGGUCAAUGGGCGGGAGCCUGAACCAGCCAAGUCGCGUGAGGGAAGACGGUCCUACGGAUUGUAAACCUCUUUUGCCGGGGAGCAACGGGGUCCUUGCGAGGGCCCAAUGAGAGUACCCGGAGAAAAAGCAUCGGCUAACUCCGUGCCAGCAGCCGCGGUAAUACGGAGGAUGCGAGCGUUAUCGGGCUUUAUUGGGUUUAAGGGGUGCGUAGGCGGGCUGUUAAGUCAGCGGUAAAAUGUCGGGGCUCAACCCCGGCCUGCCGUUGAAACUGGCGGCCUAGAGUGGGGGAGAGGGAUGUGGAAUGCGUGGUGUAGCGGUGAAAUGCAUAGAUAUGAGGCAGAACUCCGAUUGCGAAGGCAGCAUACCGGC
rnacentral:rRNA from 1 species